UAUACAUGCAAGUCGAGCGAACAGAUGAAGUGCUUGCACUUCUGACGUUAGCGGCGAACGGGUGAGUAACACGUAAGGAAUCUACCUAUAAGCGGGGGAUAACAUUCGGAAACGGGUGCUAAUACCGCAUAAUAUCUUCUUCCGCAUGGAAGAAGAUUGAAAGACGGCUCUGCUGUCACUUAUAGAUGACCUUGCGGUGCAUUAGUUAGUUGGUGGGGUAACGGCCUACCAAGACGAUGAUGCAUAGCCGACCUGAGAGGGUGAUCGGCCACAUUGGGACUGAGACACGGCCCAAACUCCUACGGGAGGCAGCAGUAGGGAAUCUUCCGCAAUGGGCGAAAGCCUGACGGAGCAAUGCCGCGUGAGUGAAGAAGGCCUUCGGGUCGUAAAACUCUGUUAUAAGAGAAGAACAAAUUGUAGAGUAACUGCUACAGUCUUGACGGUAUCUUAUCAGAAAGCCACGGCUAACUACGUGCCAGCAGCCGCGGUAAUACGUAGGUGGCAAGCGUUGUCCGGAUUUAUUGGGCGUAAAGGGAGCGCAGGUGGUUUCUUAAGUCUGAUGUGAAAGCCCACGGCUUAACCGUGGAGGGUCAUUGGAAACUGGGAAACUUGAGUACAGAAGAGGAAUGUGGAACUCCAUGUGUAGCGGUGGAAUGCGUAGAUAUAU
rnacentral:rRNA from 1 species